rnacentral:rRNA from 1 species
GAGAAGCAAUACCGUGAGGUGGAGCAAAACUCAAAAAAUGAUCUCAGUUCGGACUGUAGGCUGCAACUCGCCUACACGAAGUUGGAAUUGCUAGUAAUCGUGGAUCAGCAUACCACGGUGAAUACGUUCCCGGGUCUUGUACACACCGCCCGUCACACCAUGGGAGCUGGUAACACCCGAAGUCAGUAGUCUAACCGCAAGGAGGACGCUGCCGAAGGUGGGAUUAGCGACUGGGGUGAAGUCGUAACAAGGUAUC